rfam:Sarcophilus harrisii ctg7180001403749, whole genome shotgun sequence.
CCAAAGGCUCUUUUAAGAGCCACCAUCAGGCAUCUUACGGAGAGCU